UGGGGAAUUUUCCGCAAUGGGCGCAAGCCUGACGGAGCAAUACCGCGUGAGGGAGGAAGGCUUUUGGGUUGUAAACCUCUUUUCUCAAGGAAGAAGCACUGACGGUACUUGAGGAAUCAGCAUCGGCUAACUCCGUGCCAGCAGCCGCGGUAAUACGGAGGGGGUUAGCGUUGUUCGGAAUUACUGGGCGUAAAGCGCACGUAGGCGGACCAGUCAGUCAGAGGUGAAAUCCCGGGGCUCAACCUCGGAACUGCCUUUGAUACUGCUGGUCUCGAGUUCGAGAGAGGUGAGUGGAAUUCCGAGUGUAGAGGUGAAAUUCGUAGAUAUUCGGAGGAACACCAGUGGCGAAGGCGGCUCACUGGCUCGAUACUGACGCUGAGGUGCGAAAGCGUGGGGAGCAAACAGGAUUAGAUACCCCCGUAGUCC
rnacentral:rRNA from 1 species